CCUACGGGCGGCAGCAGUGGGGGAUAUUGCACAAUGGGGGAAACCCUGAUGCAGCGACGCCGCGUGGGGGAAGACGGUCCGCUGGAGUGUAAACCACUGUCCCCAGGGACGAAGAUGACGGGACCUGGGGAGGAAGCGCCGGCUAACUACGUGCCAGCAGACGCGGUAAAACGGCGGGAGCGAGCGUGGUCCGGAAUUACGGGGUGGAAAGGGAGCGUAGGCGGGACUGCAAGGUGGGUGUCAAAUCUACCGGCUCAACCGGUAGCCGCACUCCAAAAUGCCGUUCUUGAGUGAAGUAGAGGCCGGCGGCAUUCCUUGUGUAUCGGUUCACUGCGUAGAUAUUAGGCGGCA
rnacentral:rRNA from 1 species